rnacentral:lncRNA from 1 species
AUGGCAUUUCUCGGUGGUCGGAGAGACCUUCCAGGCCGUGUCUGGGGGCUGGAAAGGCCGAUCAGCUCUUACGUGUGUCCGGGGGGGCGAGCUGCCACCGGGGCCUUCCUCCUCCUCCUCCUCCUCCUCCUCCGAGGUGCUGUCGCUGCCCGAGUCCUCCAGCCCCGAGUAGACACUCUCCUCGCUGUCCGUCAGCUCCUCGCUCUCCCCGGCAGGACACGGCUGGAAGGGAACGGGCCAGGGGAGCGCGUUAGCGGCCCUCGCCUCACGGAGGGGCCGCACGGCCCGGCCCGGCCCCCCUGCAAUGCCAGGGACCCCGGGACCGGACCGGGCCCCCUCGGGACGAGGCCAGGCCCCACUAGGCACCACCGGGACAGGGCUGGGACCCCCAGAACAAGGCAGGGACCGGGCCGGGCCCCCCUCCCCGCAGUGCCAGGGAUCCCCCCGGGACCGGGGUGGUCCCCCCCCGGGACAAGACCGGGCCCCACUAGGCGCCACCGGGACCGGGCCGGGACCCCCGGAAGAAGGCCGGGACCGGGCCGGACCCCCCGCAGUGCCAGGGCCCCCCGGGACCGGGCCGAGCCCCACCGCCCCCGUAACCAUGGCAAGGCGCGCCCCGACCUGCUCCAUGGCUCCGUCCCGCGACCCCGCGUGCGCCGCCGGCCGCGCCGCGCACCACGUGCGCGCAGGUCAGAGGUCACGGCACCGCCCCCCCUUCCCGCCGCCCCCGUUCCCCGCCCAAACCCAGCAGCGCCCAGACGGCGGCACCGGGGCAGGGGCGGGGGGAGGGGGAGCCGCGCUCCCAGUGGCGGCGGGGGGGGAGGGGGGGCAUGGCGGGGGGAUUUGAGGAGGGGUCAAAGGGGAGAGGUGACCCGGCGCGGCGCGCAUGCGCACAGCGGGAGCGGGGCGGCGCACUGCGCUUGCGCGCGGGCCGAGCGGGCAGACGCCGCCGUCGCGCCGGGGGGACGGCGCACGCGCAGGCGGGGAGGCCCGCCGCGGCGGCGGGGGCGCCGGCCGGGGGGGCGCACGCGCGCGGGUUGCCGACAGUGA